rnacentral:piRNA from 1 species
UAUAACUGAACAGGGUGAUCGGUA